rnacentral:rRNA from 1 species
GACGAACGCUGGCGGCGUGCCUAAUACAUGCAAGUCGAGCGCAGGAAACUGACGGAACUCUUCGGAGGGAAGGCAGUGGAAUGAGCGGCGGACGGGUGAGUAACACGUAAGGAACCUGCCUCAAGGAUUGGGAUAACUCCGAGAAAUCGGAGCUAAUACCGGAUAGUUCAACGGACCGCAUGGUCCGCUGAUGAAAGGCGCUCCGGCGUCACCUGGAGAUGGCCUUGCGGUGCAUUAGCUAGUUGGUGGGGCAACGGCCCACCAAGGCGACGAUGCAUAGCCGACCUGAGAGGGUGAUCGGCCACACUGGGACUGAGACACGGCCCAGACUCCUACGGGAGGCAGCAGUAGGGAAUCUUCCACAAUGGACGAAAGUCUGAUGGAGCAACGCCGCGUGAGUGAUGAAGGUUUCGGAUCGUAAAACUCUGUUGUAAGGGAAGAACACGUACGAGAGGGAAUGCUCGUACCUUGACGGUACCUUACGAGAAAGCCACGGCUAACUACGUGCCAGCCGCCGCGGUAAUAC